UACGUAGGGUGCGAGCGUUAAUCGGAAUUACUGGGUUUAAAGGGUGCGUAGGCGGCUAUUUAAGUCAGUGGUGAAAUACGGCAGCUUAACUGUCGAGGUGCCAUUGAUACUGGGUAGCUUGAGUACUGAUGAGGUAGGCGGAAUGGACGGUGUAGCGGUGAAAUGCUUAGAGAUCGUCCAGAACACCGAUAGCGAAGGCAGCUUACUAAGGAGUAACUGACGCUGAGGCACGAAAGUGUGGGGAUCAAACAGG
rnacentral:misc_RNA from 1 species